rnacentral:rRNA from 1 species
ACAGAGGGGGCAAGCGUUGUUCGGAAUUACUGGGCGUAAAGGGCGCGUAGGCGGCCUGUUAAGUCGAACGUGAAAUCCCCGGGCUCAACCCGGGAACUGCGUCCGAUACUGGCAGGCUUGAAUCCGGGAGAGGGAUGCGGAAUUCCAGGUGUAGCAGUGAAAUUCGUAGAUAUUCGGAAGAACACCAGUGGCGAAGGCGACUUACUGGACACAUAUUGACGCUGAGGUGCGAAAGCGUGGGGAGCAAACAGGA